ACAGAGGGGGCAAGCGUUGUUCGGAAUUACUGGGCGUAAAGGGCGCGUAGGCGGCCGGCUAAGUCGAACGUGAAAUCCCCGGGCUCAACCCGGGAACUGCGUCCGAUACUGGUCGGCUUGAAUUCGGGAGAGGGAUGCGGAAUUCCAGGUGUAGCGGUGAAAUGCGUAGAUAUCAAGAGGAACACCUGAGGUGAAGACGGGUUGCUGGGCUGACACUGACGCUGAGGCGCGAAAGCUAGGGUAGCAAACGGGA
rnacentral:rRNA from 1 species